CACUGCGCAGGCACAACAGAGCCGCUCCCCUCUCCUCGCCCCGCCACCGGGACGGAGAGCGCCCGCCGCUGCAUUUCCGGCGACACCUCGCAGUCAUUCCUGCGGCUUGCGCGCCCUUGUAGACAGCCGGGGCCUUCGUGAGACCGGUGCGAGCCUGGGGUAGUCUCCUGUCUGGACAGAGAAGAGAAAAAUGCAGGACACUGGCUCAGUAGUGCCUUUGCAUUGGUUUGGCUUUGGCUACGCAGCACUGGUUGCUUCUGGUGGGAUCAUUGGCUAUGUAAAAGCAGGCAGCGUGCCGUCCCUGGCUGCAGGGCUGCUCUUUGGCAGUCUAGCCGGCCUGGGUGCUUACCAGCUGUCUCAGGAUCCAAGGAACGUUUGGGUUUUCCUAGCUACAUCUGGUACCUUGGCUGGCAUUAUGGGAAUGAGGUUCUACCACUCUGGAAAAUUCAUGCCUGCAGGUUUAAUUGCAGGUGCCAGUUUGCUGAUGGUCGCCAAAGUUGGAGUUAGUAUGUUCAACAGACCCCAUUAGCAGAAGUCAUGUUCCAGCUUAGACUGAUGAAGAAUUAAAAAUCUGCAUCUUCCACUAUUUUCAAUAUAUUAAGAGAAAUAAGUGCAGCAUUUUUGCAUCUGACAUUUUACC
rnacentral:lncRNA from 1 species